ensembl:lncRNA
UAAAGUUUACUAUAAAAAAAAUUACAAGAGCAUUGUUCAAUACUAAAAAAAUGUCCACAACUUCAAUAUAUCAAUAGUUUCACCUGAGAGGAGUUUAGGUUAGACGCAUCCCUUGUUUGAUCCAGCAUCUGUUUGGUUUGUUCCUCCUGGGCCGCUUGGCUUAAGGUAGUUUUAGAUGUAGUACCUGUACCUUGGCAAGUGACAAGAAUCAAUUAUUGACAUAUAGUGGACAAAAUCUGAUAAAUGUAGACGUGAAUAAAGUUUGCUAUUUGAGACUAUGAUCUAAAACUCCUAUUCUACUCCAAAGAGAUCCAAGUGGAUGAAGGAAAAGUCUAUUCUUGUAAUGCCUUAAUCCAUGGAAUACAAAUUGCAUCUACUAACAAGUAAUUUCAACUAUAAAACUUUUGAAAAAAGCUAGCUUUUCCAGCUUGUUGGACCAAAACAGUUGUUGUCGACAAAGUCAAGGAAAGCUUUGACGUGGUGGUGUUAAUUUUGUGCAGAACAGUAACAUUUAGAGUUGUUGUUGUAGCGUCAAAAGGAGUGACUGUAGAUGUCAAAUGUCACCUGGUACUCCCGUUGUCAGGUUCCAGUCUGCUGUUGAACUGCUUGCAGUCGAGCUUAGAUUGGAGAUGAUUCCAACACUUUGAUUGUGAUUGAUGGUGAUACUGACAGGGGAAGCAGCUGUUAGGUUAUCAUUUCCGUGGGUUGUUGUGAUGUUGGUCACUCUCGCUGUGGUCUGAUUUACAGUCUGGUUGAUAAGUGGAGCUCCUAUUGUUUCGUUGGUUAAAGGUGAGACUGUUGUGACAUUCAAUGUUGUUGUGUUAUUCAGAGAAGGUGUGACUGUUAUGUUGGAUGUUAUUGUUUUAUUGGUUGAAGGUGAGACUUUUGUGACGAUCAAUGUUGUUGUGUGAUUGGUUGAAGGUGUGACUCUAGUUAUGUUGUUUGUCGUUGUGUCAUUCAGAGAAGGUGUGACUGUUAUGUUGGAUGUUGUUGUUUUAUUGGUUGAAGGUGAGACUGUUGUGACAUUGAAUGUUGUAGUGUCAUUAAGAAAAGGUGUGACUGUUAUGUUGGAUGUUAUUGUUUUAUUGGUUGAAUGUGAGACUGUUGUGACAUUCAAUGUUGUUGUGUUAUUCAGAGAAGGUGUGACUGUUACGUUGGAUGUUAUUGUUUUAUUGGUCGAAGGUGAGACUGUUGUGACAUUCAAUGUUGUUGUGUUAUUCAGAGAAGGUGUGACUGUUAUGUUGGAUGUUAUUGUUUUAUUGUUUAAAGGUGACACUGUUGUGACAUUCAAUGUUGCUGUGGUUGUGUUAUUCAGAGAAGGUUUGACUGUUAUGUUCGGUAUGUUGUUGUUUCUUUGGUUGAAGGUGAGACUGUUGUGACUUUCAAUGUUGUUGUGUGAUUGGUUGAAGGUGUGACUGUAGUUAUGUUGUUUGUUGUUGUGUCAUUCAGAAAAGCUGUGACUGUUGCGUUGGAUGUUGUUGUUUUAUUUGUUAAAGGUGACACUGUUGUGACAUUGUAUGUUGUUGUUUGAUUGGUUGAAACUGAGACAGUUACAUUCAAUGUCAUUGUGUUAUUCAGAAAAGGUGUGACUGUCGUUACAUUGUUUGUUGUUGUGUCAUUCUGAAAGGGUGUGACUGUUGUUACACUGUAUGUUGUUGUGUGAUUGUUUGAAGGUGUGACUUUGUUAACUGUUACGUUGUCCACAGUUGUGUGGUUUUGUUGCAAUUUAGUUAUGUUAUGUGUGUAACCGAUGGAUUCAGUUGUCCUAACAUUUAAGUUUGAGUCAUUAGAGGAUAAUGUUGUGAAAUUUGUUGCGUUUUGCCGUCUUGUAGUUGUGUUUUGUAAUUUGCUAUUAUCAGUGGGUGUCCAUACUGUGCUGUUAGAUACAUUUGCGUUUUGUUCUGUUGUCACAGUAGUCACAGUCAUGUUUUGUGAGCUGGUUGUGAGGACUGGCUCUGCUGUCGAGGACUGGGUUCUGUCAUGUGUUGCGAGUGGAGUGGUCAUGCUGGACUGAGCUGUUACUUGUGAUGCAUUCUUCUGUUGAAUUGUUGCAGAACUUUCAGUUGUUGUUUUAGUUUUCUCAGUAGUGUUGACCACAGAUGGUGUUGAGGCCUCAGGAGUUGAAGUGCUUUGUGUAGUUGGGGGGGGCUCUCUCGGGCAGCUUUCGGUCAGAAGUACAGCAAGCCUUUCAUUUGCAUCACUGAAAAAGAACACAUCGAGAAAAUGAGGGGAAAUACUUCUUCUAUAAAGCCAGAACCUUCAAUAUCACAGACGCUCAAUGAACCAUUAGCCUUGUGCAGUGAGUCGAUGUUCCUUUCUUCAUUUGGUUGAGUGCAGAUCUAGACCGUCUGACAAGUUAAUAGUGGCGUUCUUUUUAUUCGUUGGGUGUCGAGUAUG